UGACCCUUCUAAGCCGAGGGUCACCUAGCCAACUGACGUUGUUAGUGAACACCAUUGUUCACACUUAUAGACGGCCAAUCACACUUCUUGUGGUUGGCCUUUUUUUU
rnacentral:sRNA from 15 species